rnacentral:lncRNA from 1 species
UUAGCUAUUGAUUUUAAAUUCCUGAUUGUUUACCUUGUUAGUCAUUUUGGUUUAUUGUCCAGUGAUCAACCUGAUGAUCAAGUAACACUAUUUAUUGUAAUCUGGAAACACUUGAAAAGAAAGUUACUUUGACUAUCCAUGCAAAAGUCUGACCAAAAAAGCAUCGGUAUGCCGCAGAAUAUUGGGGAGUCAACAGAUGGACGCUAACAGACAUGGCAUAGCCAAAAUGAGGAGUCAUUAGAUGGGUAAAAAAGCAAUCAGAAAUGUGUUGAUCUGAGGUGACCUAGGAAGAUUAGGAAUCAACUGUGAAUUUUUGGUGCUACUAUAUCCAGAAUUCCUGCCUACAUAGGGCUUUAAAUUGGACAGAAGUAGUUGAAAAUGGUAAAGUCAUCACUUGAGCUGUGUAUUAGCUUGCCUGCAUUAUGUAUGAUGAACAGGAGCUAUGUCCCUGGGCACCUAGAUAGCGUGCCCCUUUUCCCUUAGACGCCUUUAACAUACAACCUACUUGCCUGGAAAAAUAAUUUUUUUUCAAAAAAAAAGGGUCAGAAAUUGAGUAAUAGGAAUUACAUUGACAACCUAAAAUGAUAAGGGGGUAUGUUGUGGGCCUUGUGGCCAUAGACCCCUAUAGCAAUUAAAACCAUCUAGUAUCUCGGUUCAAGUAACCGACAGAAAACCAAGGAUUUUGCAGCAAUAUAACUCCAGACUGUAGGGGCUGGAGGGUGUUCUCACCAUGACAAGUUCAGGUAAGUCAUUCUAGGCCAGAAUCCUUUGCAAAGGGCUGGAACUUUGAGGAGGCCUGCUAUUUGCCUUCCAAAAAGCAGAGAGAAGUCCCAAUGUUACCAGCUCCACAAAGCCAAAUUCCCAUUUAUCCCACCCCUUCAAAUCUCUUUUUGAUUCCUUUAAACUAUUUAGUUCCAGUCACUGCUCAGCCGUAUUUGACAACCCAUUCAGAUCCUCUCUUAGUCGCAAAUCCAAUUUUUCCAAAUGCAGUACCUGACUGAAUUGUCAGCAGUCCCAACUGUGAUGGAAUAGGGUGUCCUAUUUUCAAUAUAACCCAGUGUAUUAGAGUGCUACUUCCCUUAGAACACUGCCCGGUCCCCCCAAGGGGGCUCAAUUCCUUGCAAAACAAAAACAGCCAAUAGACCUAGGUUCCUUCUCUUUUGAAGGGUUUCUCAUAGGUAUUACCCCUAAUAAAAUGGAAAGAGUUUUGUCUGUUUUGGCAAUCAUAAAUUUUAAGCUAGUCAAGUAUUGAGAGAAUGAUCUUCCAAUGGGUUGCAAUAGUUUAAAGUAGAAUGUUUAAGGGGGAAGUAUAAGCUGUGAUAUCCGGAAGAGAUGCUUAACUGGGGUUGGCACCAUGUUUGUUGGGAUUUUCACUUGUGGUAUGAAAAUCAUAAGUUGGAACAUUAGAAGCUUAGGGUCUAGAAAGAAAAAGAGAGUAGUAAAGGAUUUUCUUCACCACGGAUCUCCAGACAUUGUGAUGUUUUAGGAAACAAAGAGAGACGAGUGUGACAUGAGAUUCGUGUGGACAAGCAGAAACAAGAAGUAAGCCACUUUACCAACUUGUGGGUCAUCGGGAGGAGUCUUAACAAUAUGGAACUCAAGAAAAUAUUCAUGUUUAGACUUAGUGCUAGGAUCCUUCUUAGUUUCAAUUAAUCUAGUUUUAGUUGGAGAAGUAGAUUUUUGGCUUACCUUAGUGUAUGUUACCAACAUUUCCAUUCUCAUAAAAGACUUUUGGACAAUGAUAUUAGAUCUUUUUGGUUUGAUCAAUCUAAUUUUUUUUUCUUUUGCAUGUUUAGACUUAGUGCUAGGAUCCUUCUUAGUUCCAAUUAAGCUAGAUUUGGUUGGAGAAAUAGAUUUUUGACUUACCUUAGUGUAUGUUACCAAUAUUUCCAUUCUCAUAAAAGACUUUUGGAC